UGGGCCCUGCUGAGUCGGGUGGGCCCUGCUGAGUCGGGUGGGCCCCAGUGGCCGUGAGGGAGCCCGGUCUGUUGGGCCCUGCUGGGCCGCGCUCAGUUGAGCCCCGGUGCCCAGUAACGGAGCCGGGUCUCUUGGGCUCUGGCGAGCCCCAGUGCGUGGUGAGAUGCCCGGUCUGUUGGGGCCAGGUGCCUGGUGAAAGAGCCUGGUCGGUUGAGCCCCGGUACUCGGUAACAGAGCCCGGUCUAUGGGGUUCUGGUGAGCCCAGGUGGACGGUAAAGAAGCCCGGACAGCCGGAGCCUGGUACCCAGUAAAGGAGCCCAGCUGGUUGAGCCCUGGUGCCUGGUAAGGAAGCUGGUGGAGCGGUGGGAAGCCCAGCUUGGCAAGCCUCGCUGCGUGGCCAUUCAGGCCCCAACAGCCAGCAGAGCCGCAGUGUGGCCCCCCCAGCCCAGCCCCACCAUGCCAGGCCAGAGGCCGUCAGGGGUCCAUCAGGCACUGCUGGUGUUGGUGGCUGUGCUGGGCUGGCUGCUGGCUCUGCGACUCCUGCUCGACCUGCGGGUACUGGGGCUGCUCUGUGGGGUGCUGGCGGCGCUGGGCGGCUGGCUGGGCCCCCGGGCCCUCAGCCCCCAUGGCCGACGGCUGCGGCUGGAGCGUUUUGUGAGCUCCCUGCGGCCCCAGCCCCAGUGCCCGGCAGCCAAGGGGCGGCUGGAGAGGGAGAUCGCCAGCACUGUCCACAAAGUGGUGCGGGACUUUGUCGCCUCCUGGUACCGCACAGUCAGCAGCGAGCCAGCCUUUGAGGCUGAGGUGGAGAAGGCCAUGAUGGGCCUGGCUGCCGAGCUGAGGCAGCGGAUGGGGCGAGUGGACUGCCAAGCCCUGGCCCACCGCCUCCUCCGCCUCUGUGGCCACCACUUGCAGAGCUACUUGCAGGCCCUUGAGGCCCUGAGGGGCAAUCCAGAGGGCAGCCGGACCCUGUGGCAGGAGUACAGCCGGCUGGCGGGGCCACAUCCUGCACUCCACAGCCCAGUGGCUGAGGUGAGCUACGCCCGGGCUGCUGUGGAGAUGCUUCUGAAGGCGCUGGUGCCCCAGCCCCACCUGGAGACACGGACAGGGCGCUUUGUGGUGGUGGAGCUGGUCGCCUGCAAUGUGCUGCUGCCAGCCAUCAGGAAGAUGGCCGAUCCUGACUCGAUAAACCUGCUGCUCAUUGGGGCUUUCUCCAAGAAGCCCAGGGGUGAGGAGCCACCCCCUGCACCCCCAGUGCCUGAUUUUUUGCCCUUCACAGUGCAGACAGAUGCUGCCCCUGCUGGGCUGACCCCCUCCCCAAGGGCUACAGAGGUGCCCAGGCGAGAGGCAGGGCCUAGUGGUGAGGGGGGAGAGGAUCUGGUGAGCAGUGUGUGCCACACAGAGGAACCCUUCCUCCACCCACGAGCCCUGGGCUCCCUCUUCCCCUGCGAGGGUUUGGAGCUGGAGUCCCCUGCACCCGAUGUGGGCCAGGGCACGGACCUGCUGGCAUCGUCACCUGCGCGGGAACUCCUUGAUGCACCACUCCAGGACACCUCCACUAUGCUGGAGGGACCGGCCGCUUUGGAGGAUGGCAUGGGGAACUUGGAGGAGGCCCUUGCCACCAACUCAGAUGCCGGCCUGCUUCCCACCUCUGCUUUUGCGCUGAGCUCCUGCCCUGACAUCCAAAUUGACCUGGCAGUUGAGAAGGAAGAGGAAAGCUCAGCUACCCCCAAGAAGUCCUUCUCACAGAGGCCCUCCAGCUUGGGGAAAGAUCUGGGGGCAGCAGAGGGUCCACCACGAAGCCCACCAGACCCCGGGCAGACACUGCCCCUGCUCUCAUCCUCCCCAACGGCUUCCAUCAGUACCUUCAGCUUUGAGCCACUCAGCAGCCCUGAUGGGCCAGUCGUCAUCCAGAACCUGCGGAUAACCGGGACCAUCACUGCUCGAGAGCACAGUGGGACUGGCUUCCACCCCUACACACUGUACACCGUCAAGUACGAGACAGCCCUGGAGAGUGAGAGCGCAGGCAGCCUUCAGCAAAUGGCUUACCACACAGUGAACCGCCGUUACCGGGAGUUCCUCAACCUCCAGACCAGACUGGAGGAGAAACCGGAGCUCCGCAAGUUCCUGAAAAAUAUCAAAGGGCCAAAGAAACUGUUCCCUGAUCUUCCAUUUGGAAACAUGGACAGCGAUAAAGUUGAAGCCAGAAAAAGUCUGCUAGAAUCUUUCUUGAAGCAAUUGUGUGCGGUGCCUGAGAUUGCAAACAGUGAGGAGGUGCAGGAGUUCCUCGCCCUGAACACUGACGCCAGGAUCGCGUUUGUCAAGAAGCCCUUUGUUGUCUCCAGGAUAGACAAGAUCGUUGUCAAUGCCAUCGUGGACACCUUGAAGACAGCAUUCCCCAGGUCAGAGCCCCAGAGCCCCACGGAGGAUCUUAGUGAGUCUGAAGUGGAUGGGAAAGCACAGACAGACGGGAAGAAGGCUAACAAGUCCAGGCUGAGGUUCUCAUCCAGUAAAAUUGCUCCAGUGCUGAGUGUGAGUGAAACGCAUGACAGGAUCGUGUACUCUAUCAGGGAGGGCAGCACUGUCUCUGGCACCCUGUCACUGGCUGCUAUGGAGUCCUUCAUCCAGAAGCAGGAAAAGCUGCUGGAGGCAGUCCCCAGGAAAGCUCCCGAAGGCGAGGGAGGCAGAGAAGCUAAGAAAAGCUCCAUGCAGGAGGAUGUGGACAGGUUGGGCACGUCGGAGCAGGGGGUGCCCCCGGACACGGACUCUGACUCUGAGACAGCUUUGGCUGACUUGGCCCUGGAUGUGCUUCGUCUGCUGCUGAUGGAUCACUGGAGCUGGCUGUGCACAGAGAACGUCCAGAAGGUCUUCCACCUGCUCUUUGGGACCCUCAUUCAAAGGUGGCUGGAAGUCCAGGUGGUUAACCUGACUUGCACCCAGCGUUGGGUCCAGUACCUCCAGUUGCUACAAGAAUCCAUCUGGCCUGGAGGAGUUUUACCAGCAGUGCCUAAACCAGCCAGGACAGAGGAGCAGAAGAAAGCAGCAGCAGAGCAGGCCCUGCAGAGCCUGAUGGGGAUCUUGCCUAAUGCGAUCCAAGAAAUCCUCGGAACCAGUAAAUGCCGGAUGAGCUGGAACCUGGUACUGGAGUCCCUGGGCCAGCCUGUGAUAAACAGGAAGCAAAACAGAGGAAGUGAUAUAGACACCCCAGGUACACGGCACCACCACAACUGCAGCAAAAGGUCUCAGCCAGCACUCGGAGAAGGCUGGCUCAUUAACUUCUGCUGUUCGGGAGAUACUAGCAAAACCACAAGUGGACGGGCUCAGCCCAGAUACCCAACACUUCCACAUCCCGUGAGGAAUUUGGCUGGUGCUUGAACUUGCUGUAUGAGGAUCUUCACCAGGAGAGGACUUUGCUGAGACCCCAGCAGAUGCUCAUAUGAGGAAGGGAGCAGCCAGAAUAAGCAGAAAUGCUGUGAAAUCCUGCACUCAGGAGCUGCGAAACACCCCAAGCAGCGCAGAGACCCGCUCCUCUUGAAGGCACAUCCUGGGGGCUUGGCUCCAGAGAUAGAAAUUAUUCAAAAUAAACAGGGUCGCUGCCGCAAGGCUGAGCUGAAAUCCAGCGCGGAAGCUUCCCAGGGAGCAGCUCCAGAAAAUCUGGGAGAGGGCGUCGAGAAGCACCUGCGGCUCAACAAGCGUCGGUGAAAUACAGCGGGAUGGUACCUGCAGCAUCCCUGCUGCCUGCGGGAGCUCAGCCCUGGACCAGGGCUGUCCUGCUGGGGCUGGGGUCUCCUGGCUUAGGGUAAUGCCAGGGGUUGCAGCAAUCUCAGGGCACGCACCCACCUUUUCCAGGGUGCAAAGACCUUGGGAAAUUCCGGGGAAAUUUCUCUUUUUUUCCUGCUGCUCGAGGUCAGUUUCCUUCCUUGCAGAUUGCAGGCUCCCAGGCAAUAAACCCAGCAACGUACCACCUAGGACAGACUGUCCCUCCAGAUCUUUCAGCCAUUUCACCAGGGGGGGGUCAUCGCUUCGCACCUUCCCACAGCAGCACUGCAGGUCCCCCGCCCCCAGCUCUUUCUUUUGCAGUGAGAGGGGAAACUGAGGCAGAGGCCUGAGCUUUCCUUUUGAAUAAGGAGACCUUCUCCAGGCCCCUGCAUGAUCUGAAGGGAUGGGGCAAAUACCCUCACGUGCCAGACAGGGAUUUCGCCGCACUGACGUGGCCAGGCUCAGGGCAGAAGGGAGCCUGGUUUCAACCAGAGCGAUGAUGAGAUAAAUUUAGUUCCAUCUAAACCAGUCCAUGCUUAUACAUUCACUGUGGAAACAGAGGCGUGCGGAUAAAUGACAGUUUUGGCACACUUCUGCUCCGCUUCUUGUCACUGCCUCAGUUUCCUCUCAAAUAGAGAUAUUUCUCCGUCAUCUUCUCCGCUGUGGGAUCCUACACAAAUCUCCAUUUCCAGCCCUCAGAGGUGGGACCCUCACCCCCAAACCCCUCAGGCAAACCCUUUUGGGUCCAUCCGAAAGGGGCUGGUAUCUCUCACACUUGGCUGGGGGAGCUGCAAGGUUUUUCAAUCAUCUGCUAAUGAUAGGAAAGCAACUUUUAUUCCCUCUCUCCCCCGGACUUGGCAGGAAAGGUGGAAUGUGGAUCGCGAGAGGUGCAGCCACCUUUCAGGCCAACAGCUGCUUUGGGGGAUGGGUUGGAUAAAUGUGCAGGAUUUCCAAUCAGCCCUACACAUCCCGGCCAGAAGACUUCACCGGAGCACGGGCGCAGGGGGAUGGCUGACUCUGAUAACGCCGCGUUCAUCUCGGGUGAUCCCGGCUCGCGAACCCACCGCAAAGGCACCGCUUGGCAGCUGGAGAUGGCCGAGAGAAAACCAGGUCAGCUUGCUUUGGAAAGAGCAGAGGGAUCUCCUCCAAGACAUCUUUUGCUGCUUUUUUGGAUGCUAGGGCUGUCCCUACGGGAGGAACCAACCCUGCUUCGAAGCGCUUGCGUGCAAGGUGAGACUGGGGGAUGUUUUUUCCCCCCUGCCUCGUGAAGGGGGAGCAGAGGUACGGCAGGGCGAUGCAGCAGGCUCAGGAAUGCAAUUUUCCGGGGCUUUCCCAUCCACCUGUUGCUGUUACCCGCUUGGCCGGCCACCUGCUUUCCAUGGUGGCCAUGAGAUGCCUGGGCGGUGGAGGGGCCACCCCAGAGCAUUCCUGGGAAGGAGAUGGCACCCAGGGAAGGAAGAUUCCCAGCCGUCCGCUCGCCAUGGGCAGGCUGGAGAAGAGCCACAUCUCUGGACAGACGGACGGACUCUGCUCCCCGCCUGACAGCACAGGACCAUCUCCAGAUGGCUUCCCAGCCACAAGCCGUGUCACCAUCGCACCACCGUCGCCGUGUGGGACGAGGUGUUACUGCUUAGUGGGCAGACAACCUCACGCAUCAAGAGAUCUUGUGGGAAGCUUGGAUUUCUUCUUCUUCAUCUCUCCUCUGCCUUUCCCUCCAGCCGCCCCCUCCCCGCUUCCCACCCGCCCGCCCGCCCCAUUUCCUAUGCAGUGGGAAAGGAAACAGCCCCGAGGAAACAGGCUGGUCUGAAUUUCCAUCUGGGCACAGUGUAACACAGCCCCGGGAACGGCCAGGCACGCUAUGAUCUCCCACCCUCCAAAAUCAAAGCAAGGCAAAAGCUGCCUCUCCUUUUUCCCUGUUGCCAAAAGCUAGAAAUCCCAUCAAGAUCCAAAGCGUAUCAUUCCAGUGGGAGAUUUAUACUGGGGGAAGGAGCAGAAUUGGUUAUUUGAUGAUUGGGUUGGGCUUUUUUUUUUUUUUGUUUAAAGUCCUUAAUAUCUCCCUUCCCUCUUUCACUGCAUAGCACAAAUCCCCUUUCCAACACAUGCACGAGAGCAGAGCUGAACCGUUCACACAGAAAACAGGUGAUAAAUCACAGGGCAAUUGAUUCAAACCAUUCCAGGGAAUGGGAAACACAUGGACAGCCUUUCUAAUUAACUGUUUGAUAUGGCUGCGGUGAGUUUGGGUGUAGUUUCCAAUGUUUUGCAUUUGGCUUGUCUCAGCCCUCUCCAUGGUAACUGCAGUUUACCGGAAAGUGAGAAAAUCCUGCAUUCAAGAGAGCUAAAGUGACUUGGUAGAGUUCAGCUCAACCACAAUAAAAAAGAAAAAGAAAAGAAAAAAAAAAAAAAGAAAAAAAGAAAGAAAGUAAAUACAGUGUUUUUCUCUGCGGGAACGUUCCCUUCUCUUUCUCUUUCCAGCUGGACAAACAAAAUAAAAUAAAAGGUCCUCUUUAUCUGGAAAUCUCUGCUUUCUGGUGGGUUACAGAGCGUUCGGACCUGUUGCCCUCCGAGGCACACGCUGAGAUCUGCAGCAAGGGCUGGAGGAGCAGGGGAAGGAGCCUGUUCCUCUUUUCGUGUCCCUCUGCCAGUGCUCCCAGCCCACCGAGGUACCCAAACAGCCCGUCCAUCACCUCCUCCCAGCCAAACUGCCCACCAAAACACCCAAGAAGUGUCAGGCUGCGGGUGUGCCGAGACCCCGUUCCACCCACGCUGCUCAGCACAUCGAUCUGUCUGUGCAUCUCGUGCAAGACCCAUCUACGGGGUUUCUCUUUAUUUGCAGGGUGGCGUUUUGCACCCAGAUGUCAUCCUCUGGGUCUGGGGUGGCAGAGCGCUAGCCCCAGCAGGGCGCAGGGGGCUCAGGGCAUGCAUGGCACGUGUUUGGUCCUGAGUUGUGCUGUUAAAGUAACCGAGCCUUUCAAUUCGUAGUUUGGUUUUUUACAAUUGUAGAAUUUACAGCAAUUCUUCAACUCCAGAAGCUCUGUUAAGGACAUCAAACGCUCCGAGAGGUGGCUGCGUGUUUUGGAAGUGGAGCAAGCCCAGCUUUGCAGGAGGUGCAGAGACGUCAAACCUGCGUGCUUCUCCCAUGGGAGAUGGGAGCUGAGCAGGUACCCAUGGGAUAAACCCCGGGAGGCAUCUGGCCACCUGGAAGCGGAGCGGCGUUGGUGACCCCCCCAGCAGCAACAUCAGGAGGGAGCUGAGCUGGAGGAGUUAAAGGUGACGCAGGGCAUGAGGGCUGGGUGCUGCGGUAGCUGCCAGAAGAGGUUUGCAAACAAAAGGAGGAUGGGGAAGGGUGGGCUGGGGGUGACGGAGAUCUGCCAGGGCCACCUGGGUCACUCUGGAAGGGGUUCACAAAAUGCCCUGGGGACACUCACCCAAACGGCUCCAAGCCCCGCAUGUCCUGCCGGCAUCUCCAGAGUAGCCAGCACAUUAAAAUGUAAUUUUAAAAGGAAUAAAGGUUUAAUCCAUCUGUGUUUGAAAACAGUCUUUUCCCGUAUCCUGCUUUUGGCACGUCCUCCCAGCUGGGACAUUGCACCUCGCUCCGUAACGCGGGCACAGCUGCUGCAGCCGGGGAGGCGACUGCGACGCAGGCACUGAGCAGCAAACGAGCUUGGGAUGUUAAUAUUUUAUUUUUUAUUGGCUUUUUUUUUUUCCUCUCCCCGCACCACCCCCCCUGCUCUUACCUUUUCUGCACCACGACUCCCUGGGGCCCCGAUGGAACAUCUGGCCAAACCACUUAUGGUUCCAUUUAUUGGCAGAUAAUUUAUUUGCAGAUCAGCAGGGAAAAGUGACCCGACCAUUUACCGGAGGUAUAUUGGUUGACCCUUUGGUGAUGCUUGCUUGAACAUAGGUUCGUUAGGUGUUUGGAGCCUGAUCCAGACCCAAGGAAGUCAAACACAGAUCUCCCCUCUAAGAUCCAGGGCUGUUAGAUCUUGAUCCAAAAACACUGGGGGAAUUAGUCAAAUAAAUGCUCUGUGAAUAUUAUUACAUAUUAUUCAUUCUCUGGGAAUAUUUUAAAGUAUUAUUCACUUCUUGUGCAUAAUAUUAAAGCAGCUCCCACUCAAAGAAGGAAAUUAAAUUGUAAAAACCAGUGUUUCUCUCUGUCCUUUUAUCUUUUACACUCUUUUUUUCCCCCCACCAUCACUUUCUUCCAGCCUUUAUUUUCGGCAGAAGCGCCCCAGAUCCCAGCGCACUGGCAGUGUGAUCCAGGGACGAUCUUCUGGAUCCGUGCUUUCCCAGCACCUCUCGCUGCAGGGGCUUGCCUGUCAUCCUCCCUACUGCUUAUUUGUGUUGUAGCUGUAAGCUCAACUCAUUGCAUCUGAAAGGUGUCAACAGGCUAAUACUCCCUUGUCAGCAGACUCUUCAAAGCUCUCUUAAGCCCUUCCAAUGGCCGUGGAUCCUAUUCAAAUUCUGUUCCCCACGUUUAGCUAAAAUUAUCCAGCUUUCAAAAAUAUAUUUGAUUUUUAUUUUUUUUUCCCUUGCACAAUCAAAAGCGUGGGCUUGUUUUUCUUUUGAAUCAAAAUGCAGAGGCAUUUUCCAAGGAGGCAUUUUGGAAAAAAUAAUGAAAAUUUCGCAAAUUUUGCAGCCAAAAGCAAUUGACCCUUUUCCCCAGGGAGGAGUUUCAUUUACUUCUGGCAUUGCCACGCAUACCGGUGGUCAACCCCAUCGUACACGUGGCUAAUCACAGCGUAUAAAAUGAAACAGGAUUCUUUGCAUGGGCUUUUGGGAACAACAGCCAGAGCCUGUGUACAGGGAAUGCUUCACAGCUGGGCACGGCAGUGCAGAAACCCCUUCCCACAUGCAGGGCACGAGGCAGUGCCACAAAUCCUGCCAGUUUUCCAGCACCCGUGGACCAGCAGGACCCGGGAGCCGGCAGCUGAUCCCAUCUUGAUGGCUGAGAAACUUCCCAGUGCUUCCAAAACACUCUGAAAAACGCAAUUUCCCCUGUUCCUGGAUAGCACCUGGGGACCGACCUUUAUUUUUACAGACUCAGCCUGUGCGCCAGCCUCCGUGCACGUUUUUAGCAGCUUUGUCUAACUGUUAACACCCUGCCCGCCUCUCAGUCACCACCCCGGUGGGAAAGAGUCCCCAGCGAUGGUUGGAGCAGCAUCCUUUGCUGAAUCAGUGAUGGAAAUGCUUUUUCUUAACGUGCCCCACACAGACGGGACCGUGGAGAGACGCCUCUCCUCCCAGGGCUGUUUGAGGUCCGUUAAAGCCCUGCAGAAACGCAGGCAGACCGAGCUCUGAGUGAUAGUGGAUGCUGACUUCUGCGGUUUUGUUGACCUUGCUGAGUUGCUGGCCCCAUUAAAGGCUUACUCAUCGAUGGUGACACAGUUGGGAACUGAAAAAGGAGAACAUCUUCCAGUCUGGGGGGAUAACUGCCUUCCACUUUCCGCUCCGGCACUGACUUACUACGUGACCUUUGUCAUGUCAUCUCAUCUCCCUUGUCUCCUCCACAAAAGACAGCCUGUGAUGCUCAUGGAGGUGCUGCCCUUUCCAGCCCAACUACCCGUGGAAAGCCAAGGAUCGGUAUUUUUAAAGGCAGUAGCCACAGUGAUAUUUUCUUCACAGGCUCUGUGUUCCUGCAUUUCUAAAUCCUUAGCUCUUUUAAUUUCUUGGGGAGAGCAUCUGGUUUCCAGCUCUGGGUCUCUCCAAUCUGUCAUUUUACACAAAUAUACAGACAUCCCUUUUUUGGAUGAUGGAUUAGGGCAGCACUUUGGCUUGGAUCACACAGCCCAGACUGGAAGAGGGGCUUUGAAGUCGUGAAAUCUUCAUGUUCCCGUACUGCCAGCAGAACAGCGCACAGGAGAGAUGUACAUGCUGGGAAACACAGACCCUGGCUCAUUUACACUGCUCCAGCAUCAUCCCAUAUAACAUUACCCACUAGUUAAUUCACCUAAAGGGCAUCGUUACCCUCUGCUUCCUCCACAGUAAGAGGCAGGGAGUUGGAUCUCACAUGGAUUUACACGGGAGGACAUGCUCCUGGCCUUCGAGGGAGCCCUCGGGACCACCACUACCAUAGACCCCUUGCCUAAAUCCCUAUAAUAAUAUCCCAUCCAUCCACUCUGCGCUGCCAGAGCGGUGCAAUGCCAACUGAACGCAUGCACAAAUUGCCUCCACAGCAGAAAACGCCCCUGUGUUCAUUUCCCAGCAUCUCCAUCCCUCCGCGUCACAGGGAUUUGGUCUGGACACCCCCUUGGCAGUGACAGCGGGGCAGCCUUGCCUGUAGGACCUAGGGCACGGGGGGGAACAGCCUGUAGUUUGUCUCCCAAAAUGAGUGCUGGGUCCCAGGACCGUGUGAGAAGGCUCCUCUUGGAAAAAUAUUCGUAAACGCUGCGAUGAUUUUCUGCUGAUUUACUAGCCGAAGCCGUAAAUCAGCACUUGUCAGAGGCUUGAGUUACGUGCCUGUGCCGGAGAUUGAUGGAGCCAGCUGCCAGGAGGAAUUACCAAGCAGCAAACUUGAGUCUGAAAUCGUUGUUUUAGGCCUCGGAGCAAACUCAAGUAUUCAGGUGAUUUAUACAGGAGGAAACGGCUUUAUGUCCUUUUCAACUGGAGUCCCGAAUCCUGCCAAUAAAGACCUGCAAAAUCUCCUGGUUUUAAUCUCGCACGCGGGAAGGACACCACCAAUUUAAUGAAUUUAGGCUCUGAAUUCACCACUAGGAUAUAGGCUUAGGGGGGAAGUCCUGCCCUCAGUGGGAGAUUUUGCCUCAGCCUUCUGCAGAGCAACAGUUUACCCCGCUCGUGCUGCCCAUCUGUUUUUCUUACCCCACCUUUUACCUAUAUUUUUGAUACUGCCCUUGGAUAACGCCCACAAAAAGUCUCUGCGAUGCCUCGGUGCAUGGAUGCUGCAGUGAUGCGCAAGACCAGCUGGAGAGGGAUUCUUUGGCUGUCCGGCACAGGGUGGAGCUGGGUCAGUUAGGAGAAGGAUGUCAGGUGUAGCAUACAAGUAAAUAGUGAGUUAAUAAAUAAAGUGCCAGCAGAUGGUGCUCAAUAAUUUGCAGCAGCCUCACCGGGAUGAAGUGGUCCAUCCCCAGCAAAAAAGCUGUUCAGAAGGAGGAUUAAAAAGCAUUUUCUUGCACCAAAAGUACCACUGCAAAUAGAGCAAGCUGAGGCAGAGUUUAUUGUGUGGUGCUGACUGUAUUUCAGACACCUCACGGCAUUAACAAGGAAAGCACCAUUUUAUUGCAGUCGGGCGUAAGUGCCUCGGAUCCUGCUGCUGCUGCUUGUUUGCAUCCCCGAGAUUUUGUUUGUUCAGAAAACAUACGCUGAGGGGGGGGAAUAACAUGAAAAAAGACAUUGCAAUUCAGUUUCUAAAGAAUCUCCCAGUGCCCCAGGGAGUUAAAACUCCUCAUGGUAUCAUUCGCUUUAUCUCCCUUGGGUGUUCCGCUUCCAUUGCUAAACCGUGGCAGCAGUUGCUUUGGUUUUUCUUCUGCGCCAGUGGAAAUGUAUGAAAUGUAACGGUUUGGAUGAGCAAGUGGCCUUGGAGGCUGGAGUUGAGUGUUUUCCUUUCUUCUCUUGCCACAGCUCCUGUGCUGGUGCUGUGCUGGAUGUUGCUUUGCCUGGGACACCUGCACGCCUGUCCCUGCUCCCUUCUCUUGCCUCCCAGGACGCACUCCUUGCACACCUCCUCCUGGAUUGCCCCAAGGUCACGCAGGAGCCGCCUUUGGCAUUGAAUUUCUUCACUGCUCCAGCCUCAAGUGAGCAUUUCACAAGUCUCAGAUACUGUGGGAAGAGACCAUCAAUAACAAACCCUCCUCCUUUAGACCCAGACCUCCUCUGGGUUCGGGGCACAGGGACCAGGUACCAGCCACGUGGGUACCAGCCUUCAAAGGAUGCUCCAGCCUGCGAAGCACUGUGUGAUAAAAAAAUUGUGUAAACAAAUUAGAGCAGGAAUGCACUUUAUGGACGGGGUGGUGCCCAGCCUGCCAGGAAAAAUGGUGGUGUCCCAGGGGAGCAGUGUCAUUAGCUCAUUUCCCAUCAGCACGGGGAGCAGCCGGUUUCGAUGCAAGGGAAGUGUUUGCAGCAGUGCCUGCCAAGCAGCUGGGGAAGGCAGCAAGAUAGAGCGGUGUGGGGCACCCCGGGAGCAUCCCAUGCCCACCAGGAUGGACCAGCAUCCCUGGCCGGCAGCACGGCAUGGGCAGCAGGUGCAGCAAUGGGGGCAGGAAACAGUUUAUAGGGCUUAGGAAAAGCUGAGGUUUCUGGCAGGUUCUUGAGACAUUCGGUUUGGCCCAGAGCUCUCUGCUGUAUAAACUGUGGAAUUAGAGUCAAACAUAAAACUGGAGCAAUAGGCCAAAGGCAGAGCUGGCAGCUGGCUGAAGGUCGGUUUUUCCUCGGUGCAAGCAUGUCCAAGCCAGGCCUUUCAAAAAGAGAAAGAUGAGGAAGGGGGGAACAAAAGAAAGGGGAGCGCAGCACCAUGAGCAUGGCAAUAACCCCCAAAGGAAGAGAGAUGGAGCAGCAAGGAAGUGGAGACCUCGAUCUGCACAGUGGGAAGCAUCCGCAGAGCGAGGCAGACCAGGGGAUGGGGGGAGCCAACACCUCCUGGGGGACCAUCUGCCCUGGGGGUGCCACCAGACCUGGCACCCAUCCUUGGUGACACCAGGUGCUGUCCCACUCACUCUCGGGGCCUCAGCUCUGCUGCCACGCGAGCAGGAGGGUGUUUCUCUCCCGAUGUCUGAUUAUUAUCGGUUUUGCUCGAGAUGCAGUUUUGCUUUUCAAGAUCGGGACCGUGCACUGGGUUGACCUCCAGCGUUUUACUGCCGUGUGGUUUGGAUUAGCUGACUCAUUGUUUAUGGCGGCAUUUCACGGCCGUUUGGUGGGGCUGAGACACACACAAAAAAAAUCAUCUGUGCUGGGCACAGAGGGAGAUUUUGUCUGCAGAGCGUCGAUGUGUUGUGAGAUAGGCAGGAAAACAGGGAGUCUUGGAGAAACCUGUGAUGUUUCAUAGAGAAUUUCUUAUGUACUGCAGGUAACCCCCAGGACUGGGGGGAUAAACAGAUUUCCAGCGUCAGAAACCUUAUCUCCAUCCUCCCAACUUUCAUUUUCUCUAACCAGUCAUCCAGACGUGCUGGGGAUAGAAGUCAGAUGUGGUCUGAAUAGACAUGAGGAAUUCAAGCGGGGAAAAUCAUCCCAUGUGGAUGGAGCAGGAAUUUGAGAACAGAGCCGCUCGGUACCAACGUUGCCUCCUUCUUCUUGUGGUUAUCUACUGAGGACCCCAUCCUUUCAUCAGAUGACCCCUGAGCUCAGCAGUGGGGGAUCUGGGAACCUCAUCAACCUCAGCAGCUCAGGCUUUCCUCUUUUGGAGGCCAAGCAAAGCAUCAAGCUGUACUUCUUGGUGGUGCCAUCAUCCCCGCAUGUGACUAGGUGCAAUGGGACACGCCAGCUCCCCACAGCUGUGCCUGCAAUGACAGAUAUUGUCCCGGUGCCAUCAUUCCCUGCAGCCAGGUCGAGUUUUGCUGAAUGAGCCCACCCCUCAUCUGCAAGAAGGAUAUUUGGUCAGGUCCGCGUCCAGAUGUCCGCAGAGUCUGUGGGCGUUUAGAUUGCAAAUUCCUUCCAGCCCCAACCCCAUGCCCAUUAAAACUCGCAGGAGGUUUCCAUUGACUUCCCCGUGCUUCUGGCUUGCAAAACGCUGAAAGAUUCAACAAAUGCAGCUGCUGUCACCGGUUACCACAAAACCUGCUGGCACGAGGUUCCCAAAUAACUGGGGAGGCUGUCACCCCCACAUACUGCUGUACCCUGGGCAAGGACCUUGCUCUCGCUCCUCUCCUUGUGUCUGCUCACAUGCAAACAUGCAACACCAAACCCUAGCAUCGCUGGGGAAUGAAUGCUGACAUUUAGCAAGUGAUCUGGCAGAGCCCACCAGCCGCCGAAGCCCACGUUGGUGUUUCUGUGAUCAAACCCCAUCGGCAGAGAUGGGGAGUAGCGCAGUCACGUGCGGCUUCCCCAGGGCUGAGGUUUGGCUUUAGCGUGGGACUUCAGCAGUAAUUUCUCCUGUUUGGCUGUAAAAAAGGGGCAUCCCUCUGUACCCAUCACCCCAGAUGAAAACUUGCUGCAUUUACUAGUGGAGAGUUUGGGUUUCAGCUCCCGAGCCUGCAAGCCUAGCCAGGAGCUGGCGGCAGCGUGGGACUCACUUUUGCUUUUUCAUCACCAGCACUAACGAUCCUGCAAGAGAUUUUUAAGGCUGGGGUGUGAGCUGGAAAUGGCAGAUGUGAAUGCAGCUCCAGGUUGCUAAGCUUGCUUCACUUUGGGCCGGUCUCCGUCCCAAAUUUGCUCUCAGCUCAUGACAGAAACAAGGGCAAAGUAGUAACAUUUGGAUCAAACUCAUAUUUGGGCUCUGAACAGCAGCGCAGAGUUGCUCCCAAUAACGUGCCUUCCUGCAAACCAUCUACAAGUCCUGGUCCGAGGCAAAGGGCUUGGCAGCACUCCCAGAGUCCUCGAGCACCACGCUGUUUGUUCCAUCAUGCUCGUCCCUCCCUGAUGGAGCAGCAACACGAGCUCCGGCUGCCCAGCGCCUCCGCUGCCAUUUGCCACCCCAGGGACCGAUCCUGUGCUAGAGGACAUCUGUAUGCCAGGCUCCUUCACUAGGUCUUGCCAGGCUUUGCUAAUGAGUAUUGGUGCUUGGCAGCUCAUAAAUGCAAGGUAUGAUGGAUGUGAAGCAAGAUGCAUAGCGUCAAGAGGCACACGUGAAAGGCUUUUGGGUCUUCUUUAUGUUCUUGACCUCUCUGCCACCGCUCCCAGCUGCUAUAUGCCACCCAGCGCUCUUGGCAGACAAUAUCCCAUUGAUUGCCUGAGGAGCUCAUGCCAACGGAGAGGGUCGCGCUGAUGCUCUGCAGCGUCGCCGGGUCCUGAUCCGCCCUUGGAAAUGCCUCGCACAAUGCACAGACUGUGUACGUCGGCACAUCGUAGCACCGAUACAAUGUCGUUGGAGGCCUGAUGAUCAGCAGCACAAAAAGGGUCUUAUGGUGGCGGGGCACAGGCAUUCCUUUCUCAGGGUGAUGAACGUCAUUGAUUUAUUCCCUUUUCUCACUGGAAACAAAAUGCCCUUUAAAAAUAAAGCAAAAGAACUGAA